rnacentral:rRNA from 1 species
UAAUUGAAGAGUUUGAUCAUGGCUCAGAUUGAACGCUGGCGGCAGGCCUAACACAUGCAAGUCGAGCGGCAGCGGGAAGAUAGCUUGCUAUCUUUGCCGGCGAGCGGCGGACGGGUGAGUAAUGCCUAGGGAUCUGCCCAGUCGAGGGGGAUAACAGUUGGAAACGACUGCUAAUACCGCAUACGCCCUACGGGGGAAAGGAGGGGACCUUCGGGCCUUCCGCGAUUGGAUGAACCUAGGUGGGAUUAGCUAGUUGGUGAGGUAAUGGCUCACCAAGGCGACGAUCCCUAGCUGUUCUGAGAGGAUGAUCAGCCACACUGGGACUGAGACACGGCCCAGACUCCUACGGGAGGCAGCAGUGGGGAAUAUUGCACAAUGGGCGAAAGCCUGAUGCAGCCAUGCCGCGUGUGUGAAGAAGGCCUUCGGGUUGUAAAGCACUUUCAGUAGGGAGGAAAGGUUAACGAUUAAUACUCGUUAGCUGUGACGUUACCUACAGAAGAAGGACCGGCUAACUC